rnacentral:rRNA from 1 species
UACAGAGGGUGCGAGCGUUAAUCGGAAUUACUGGGCGUAAAGCGCACGUAGGCGGCUUGGUAUGUCGGGUGUGAAAGCCCCCGGCUCAACUGGGGAGGGUCACGCGAUACUGAUCGACUCGAAGGCAGGAGAGGGUAGUGGAAUUCCCGGUGUAGUGGUGAAAUGCGUAGAUAUCGGGAGGAACACCAGUGGCGAAGGCGACUACCUGGCCUGUUCUUGACGCUGAGGCGCGAAAGCUAGGGGAGCAAACGGG